rnacentral:tRNA from 1 species
GCAAAUGAUGAUGAAGAUGAGAGCAGUAAUGGGAGCGAGUAUGAACAUGGGGAUGAC